rnacentral:rRNA from 1 species
CCCUUAGAUGUUCUGGGCCGCGCGCGCUACACUGAUGCAUUCAACGAGUUUCUUCCUGGUCCGAGAGGAAUGGGUAACCUUUUGAAAGUGCAUCGUGAUAGGGAUAGACUAUUGCAAUUAUUGGUCUUCAACGAGGAAUUCCUAGUAGACGUAGUUCAUCAGACUGCAUCGAUUACGUCCCUGCCCUUUGUACACACCGCCCGUCGCUCCUACCGAUUGAAUGCUCAGGUGAGCCAUUCGGACCUUCAUCAUGCCGGUUUCCGGUUUUGAUGAGGGAAAGUCUUGCGAACCUUAUCAUUUAGAGGAAGGAGAAGUCGUAACA